UGAACCUGAAAAACAGAAUGUCAGUGUGUUCUGUGAAUUUCCUGUGAUUUUCACCAGUGGAACACAUGCCCGGAACCAAGCUGAGUCCUUUCCAGAGCAUCCAUGUUAGAUGUGACUUGCUCCUCCUUGCCUUCCACCAUGAUUGUGAGGCCUCCCCAGCCACGUGGAACUCUAGGUGAAGUAGAAGACAAAAGCAGGCCAGGAACAGACUUCUUGAAUCUAUCUUAGAGCACUAGUAUCAUCUCCCUGAAGAACCCCCAGCCUGAAGACAGAAAGACUAAUAAGAGGGGACGACUCAGACCACAGGGAGCAGAAACAUAUCACAGUAAAGAAGCAAGAAUUUUUGCAAAAGCUGAGGCAGCCAUGGGUUCCAUUCUGAGGCUGAAAAAUCAAGGAAGAUUGUAUGACUCACCACUGUCAGUACUCAUGUAAUUUUCAAAAAGGCUCGCCAGGAGUCUGUUGGAAGACUUCUGAAAUACAGCUACCACUGUUUCAUUAA